UACGUAGGGGGCAAGCGUUGUCCGGAAUUAUUGGGCGUAAAGCGCGCGCAGGCGGUCGCUUAAGUCUGGUGUUUAAGGCCAAGGCUCAACCUUGGUUCGCACUGGAAACUGGGUGACUUGAGUGCAGAAGAGGAGAGUGGAAUUCCACGUGUAGCGGUGAAAUGCGUAGAGAUGUGGAGGAACACCAGUGGCGAAGGCGACUCUCUGGGCUGUAACUGACGCUGAGGCGCGAAAGCGUGGGAAGCAAACA
rnacentral:rRNA from 1 species